rnacentral:lncRNA from 1 species
CACAGUCCAGUGUCAGACUAACAACCUGAAAGGGAUUUUGGCUUUCUUUAGUGGUUAGCGAGGUGGUCAGGGGAGCAAUGGUGGGCUCUCUCUAACCAUCUAAUACCCAGUACUGGGCCUCUAGUCCAUCACAGACACCUUAUCCUGGUCUCACACAUCUUGGACACACUGGACAUUACCGACACCGGCCCGGUCUGGCUCUGGUAGCCACAGACCGUAGCAGUGUAGAUGGCCGCAGCACCGAGGUCAAUGUCCCCUUACCGACGCCCAUACAGCCACAUGCCACACUCCAGCAUGCAGACAUCCAGUCCCAGGACGAGCCAACAGAACAUCUGACCAUGAAGCUUGCCAGGCUGUGGAUCCUACAGGUCUGCAAUCACAGAAAAAUCAUAUAAUUCUCCAUCCAUAUAAAGACGCAGGCAGGCACAGCCCUCUCCAUCACUGGUGCCCCUGACAACACAGGAAAUGGAUCCCACCCG